rnacentral:rRNA from 1 species
GACGAACGCUGGCGGCGUGCUUAACACAUGCAAGUCGAACGGAAAGGCCCUGCUUUUGUGGGGUGCUCGAUUGGCGAACGGGUGAGUAACACGUGAGUAACCUGCCCUUGACUUUGGGAUAACUUCAGGAAACUGGGGCUCAUACCGGAUAGGAGCUCCUGCUGCAUGGUGGUGAUUGGAAAGUUUCGGCGGUUGGGGAUGGACUCGCGGCUUAUCAGCUUGUUGGUGGGGUAGUGGCUUACCAAGGCUUUGACGGGUAGCCGGCCUGAGAGGGUGACCGGGCACAUUGGGACUGAGAGACGGACCAGACGCCUACGGGAGGCAGCAGUGGGGAAUAUUGCACAAUGGGCGGAAGCCUGAUGCAGCAACGCCGCGUGCGGGAUGACGGCCUUCGGGUUGUAAACCGCUUUCGACUGUGACGAAGCGUGAGUGACGGUAAUGGGUAAAGAAGCACCGGCUAACUACGUG